UGCCAGCCGCCGCGGUAAUACGGAGGGGGUUAGCGUUGUUCGGAAUUACUGGGCGUAAAGCGCGUCGUAGGCGGACUAUUAAGUCGAGGGUGAAAUCCCAGGGCUCAACCCUGGAACUGCCUUCGAUACUGGUAGUCUUGAGGUCGAGAGAGGUGAGUGGAAUUCCGAGUGUAGAGGUGAAAUUCGUAGAUAUUCGGAGGAACACCAGUGGCGAAGGCGGCUCACUGGCUCGAUACUGACGCUGAGGUGCGUAAGUGUGGGGGGCUAACAGGGUUAGCUA
rnacentral:rRNA from 1 species